UUCGGGCGCCGGCGAGUGGCGAACGGGUGAGUAACACGUGGAGACCUAUCCUUUGGUGGGGGACAACAGCUGGAAACGGCUGCUAAUACCGCAUACGCCCUACGGGGGAAAGAUUUAUUGCCGAAGGAGGGUUCCGCGUCGGAUUAGCUAGUUGGUGGGGUAACGGCCUACCAAGGCGACGAUCCGUAGCUGGUCUUAGAGGAUGAUCAGCCACACUGGGACUGAGACACGGCCCAGACUCCUACGGGAGGCAGCAGUGGGGAAUAUUGCGCAAUGGAGGAAACUCUGACGCAGCGAUGCCGCGUGGGUGAAGAAGGCCUUAGGGUUGUAAAGCCCUUUCAGUGGGAACGAUGGUGACGGUACCCACAGAAGAAGCCCCGGCUAACUCCGUGCCAGCAGCCGCGGUAAUACGGAGGGGGCGAGCGUUGUUCGGAAUUAUUGGGCGUAAAGCGCGCGUAGGCGGUUUAUUAAG
rnacentral:rRNA from 1 species